rnacentral:lncRNA from 1 species
UAAACUUACACACUUGGACCCUAAACCAAGAAAACCAGAGUUAGCCAUUAGAUUGGAUCAAGAAUCAGCCCACGCAGCGAAAACCGGCAUCUGCGGCAGAGUAAGAGAAACGGUCUUGAGGUCAGCAUUAGGGUUCGUGGUCCAAGAACUCAUAUUUCCAACCACAUUUGCUCCGAACAUCUUCGGACCAACUUGAGGCAACGCAAAUAUCGUCGGAAAACUCAAAACCCUCUCCGGGCUACCCACUUCCUUAGUAGAACCACCGUCCACGACAGCGGUUAAGGCGGUUUCCUCGUCGCUAAUGUUGCGGACCACGAUGCUGUUGCUGUUCCUUCGAGCCAUCUCUCCAGACAAGAGAGUGUUACUAGCCAUUAUGCGAUCAACAUCGUACCUUGUUAUGUCAAAGUUAGUCACCGCGUUUGUGCCACGGAACUUGAUAGCUGCCACAUCAUAGGCUUCCGCCGCUUCUUCUUGAGUUCCUAAUAGGGUAAAAAAAUAUCACUUGAGAUACAAGCAAGUGAAAAGGAUUUUUACUGACCAUACAUCCAUGGGUGAAAAUUACCGAAAGUUCCAAGGUAGAGAUCUUUGUUUCCAGCGACUCUACCGAUCCGGGCUUGCCACCUUCCAUGCUGGUGAUGUCUUUUAUAAUAGAAACACGAAGUCAAUAUGAAAUAAAUAAAUAAAACUAUAUAUUAGUAUAAAGUUACUUAGAUGAAAUUAAAGGUACCUGGUGACUCCUCUAUAGAUGGAAGCACCCCUAGAGAAACCACUGCUUUUUCUUCUCAAGCCGACGCAUCUCGCUUCUCGCAUCGUCAGGAGACGCCAAAAACACUUUAUACAAAGCCCCCGCGAGUGUAUUAAUAGUCGACGCAACCGGUUUCCGCAACGUGUAGAAAGACUCGAUGUACUUGGACAACGACUCUUUAUCGGUUAAGUCAACAAGAGGGUUUAAAAGAUCACGUAGGAUGACUAUAUCAGACAAUGCCACGGUCAUACCGCCUCCGGUUAAAGGAUGACGCAUGUUAAACGCGUCACCAAGAAGGAGAGCUCCUGGCGUAGGGAUGGGGUCAGCAGGCAUGCUACGGUUCGGCAUUGUUCUUAUGUUACCUUUCUCAACAGCUGAGAGGAAGGCCUCUCGGAUCUCGAUAGGUACUUGUGGUGCAACGGUUGUUUUGAGAUGUUUAGCCAUGUCGCCGCUUGCGAGUGAAGGUAGUUUUGAGCCAGGUACGUCCACUAAGCAACGGACUUCAGAGCUGCUUAUGGGGUAGAAGAGAAUGGGUGAAGGGUCGCCGAGGACAACGUGGCCGUGGUUUGGAAAGGGAAGCUCGCAGUUCUCUAAGACGAGACCGACGAAGUUUGAUGGUACUUCUACUUUAGGUUUGCAAAGAGAGCGACGUAAGUUGGAGAAACAACCAUCGCAUACGAUGGUGAGUGGAGCAUAUGAUUUAAGUUCUUGUCCUUCUUUGGUUUUGUAUUGAACGCCUUUAAUUACUCCGUUUUCUUCUACUAAUGAUGUCACUGUUCCUUGCUCCAUUUUAACACUGAAAGAAAAUAAUUCAAGUGAGAUUUUAUAGUAAUAAGCAACCUAAAUAAAUGCGUAAACCACAAGGUGGUCGUUUAGGCGGACUUUGGCGAGCUACAAGGGUUAGAAUGCACCCCAUUAACACUUUAUCUAGUGGUCAUGUGGAUAUAAAGCUAUGCUUUAGGCCUCAUUUAAAUAUUUGAAUAGAGGGUUUAUCUAUGAGCUGCAUCUCUCCUCAUGGACUGAUUUAUGUAUUUCCAUAUGCUCGGAAUACCUCGGGUUAAUAAAAAAAAGUGUACUUCUUACUUGGGAAGUGUAGAAGCUUUCUCUCGCAUCCUCUGCACAAAUCUACCAUUGUGAAAGCUACGACCAGCCACAUCAGAAUCAAACUGAUCAAGAGGGUAAGAGAGUUUGGUGUGUUUCCCAUCUUUGAAGAGUGCAUAACCAAGAACUCUCUGCGCAUCUAUCUCCUUCACACAAUCUACAACACACACAAGUCAAGUCAGCGUUGUAAUAAUAUAGAGAUGAACUAUAUUGGUUGAUUUUGGUUUUACCUUCAAGCCCGAGUUCGAUUAACUUCAAGUAUCCACCUGGUUGAAGCAACUCACCAACAAUCCGGUCAGGUUCGGUUAAGUCUCUUUCAAUAACGUGAACUCUUCUCCCUUCCUACAACAGCCAAAAAAGAACUUUAACUUUGGUUCCGUGACGCUGACGAGAACCAUAAAAUCAGCAACAAGCAAAACCCAUGUUUCAUAUCGCAACUUGAUCCUCGAAAACAAUAACAUCCUUAAGACGAUUGUCCUUAAGAGAACUAAACCUAACAUAGCUUCUGUUGCAAGAAUUCAAUGACGCUGAGAGACAAUGAAUACUAAUAAAUUAAUAAACAAUUUAAUAAGAUUCAAACACAAACGUAUACCAAUAAAUUAUAAUAAUAAUAAUAAACAAUUCUUGAUUACCUUGCCGAGUGUAUGAGCAAGGGCAGCGCCGGCAACACCAGCGCCGACAAUGAUGAUAUCGACGUCAUUGUUUCCAGGUUUCACCGUUAGGGGUUCGUUGUUUCUGCUCACAAUCUCCUUGCUCCGACGUCGCAGGAGGUAGAGAAGCAGAGACGCGAACAAGGAGGCGAAGCAUGUUGUCAGGAUUAAGUGAUCGACGGCCAUUUAUCUCCGCCGCUCGCGAGCGACCAAUCAAUGUCGGUGAUUCGAGGAGGGUUGUUACGAAACGACGCGUAGUUUUUUUUUUGUGUAAGGAAAACGAUCUUGUUGGUAUUAUUAUGUCAAGGAUGAAGAGGUUGUGGUUGUGAAUCGAACUCGUGGCUUCUUAAUAAUUUCAUAAGUUUACAAGGACGAAAAUAAUUAAAAAUAUAGGUAAGACGUAACCUACAAUAAAUACCUGUUAACAUAAUUAUUAAAGAUAUUUUUAGUAAUUACAGAAUCAACCUAAAUACAUUAGCCAGUUAGAUAUCCGUGUGUUUCAACUUCUUUUUAACCUUAAUUUUUGUAAUGAAAUGCUAAUUAUCAUAUACUAUCUAACAGUGAUGGUUUAAUUUGUUUUCUUGUACCAAUAUAACCAAACCUUAAACACAUGGUUGAAUGACAUGUCUUGUGUGUUUCAAGUUCUUUUAACCUUAACUUUUGUAGUGAAAUGCUAAUUAUAAUUAUUCUUACGGUAUGGUUUAAUUUGUUGUUUAUACCAAUAUACCCCAAACCUGUCGAUCACGAUGACCUUCCCACAUGUGACAACGAAAAUUAUCAGAAGAAGAAGACACGUGGGAUGAUAUUGCCUUCAUAUCUCCUAUAACAAACAAACGUUACAUUUUCGACACAAUUAAAGUGCAAUUAAAUACGACUGGGACAGAAUAUCUAAGCAUAUGUGAUAUGACUUUAUGUGGACUUAAAUGUUUCCGACCCCUACAAUCUUAUUCCUACCAAUCAACCACCACAACACAAAGUUGAAUUGUUUAACGAGUCAAAUGUUUGGGCCUAAGCUGGAAAUAAUAAUGGGCCAUGGGCCGAUAUAAUACGCAUAUCUACGGGUUUAAAACCAACUCUUCCACAUCAUACGACCGAGUUUGGGCCAAUUCAUGCACACGUGUGGAACAACAUGUGCAAAAGACAUUAUUACGUAUGUAAAAUGAAAAUCAAUGGUUUCAACUUUCAGCUUUCAAGUUCAACAAAACUGAACCAACCACACAUUCAUUUAUCCCACGUAUGGGGCUACAGUGAUAUUACGUCAGGCAUCAUUAUUUCAUAGUAAGUGGCAUCAAUAAAUUCUCUCUAGUUUUUUCUUUUUUCAAAAAUUUACUAAUUUAAAUUGUUUUAUUUAUUGAAAAGUUCCCUAAAAAUCAUGGAGGACGGAAUAUUUUAAAAUUUUGGUGAAACUUUAGGUAAAAGCUGAUACUGGGGUGGGGUGUGAAAAAGAGACAAAAGAAGGGAAUGUAGAGAUGAGGUGGUGAGGUAUGUUGGAUUGUUGUGGGACGAUAUGGUCAAUAAAGCAAAUCGCAUUAUUGGAGACACAUUACAUAUUUAACUCACUUUCAUCUUCUUGUUUCGACGUACUAGAAAGAACAAAGUAUGAGGAAAAUAUAUUGAAGUGACUAGAAACCUAAUUAUUACAUAUGGGUCAUUUCAUCUCCAUGCACAUUCUCUUUUCAUAUUUUUGCCUUAUCUUUAUACGAUAUUAACAUUCUAAUCGAUUACCAAAACCAUCAAUGCCAUCAAAUCAGUCUCUAAAUGUUCACGUUUUCAAAAAAUAACUAUCUAAGUAAAUUGAGUAUCAAAACAUACAUGCUACUAAUUUGGUGUUGUUUGAGUUGGUCUAAAUCAUUUUCCACGAUUUCACCAAGAUCUUUUCCAUGAUCAGAUGACUACAAUAUCAAAAUUAUCAAUAUAAAUUUACGUACUCAUUUGAUAAUUUAUAUAUGCAACUAAGAUGCAAGGUUUGUAAAAAGAAAUGCAUUGAUAACAUAUGUUAUAGAGAGAUUCAUUCUGUUUCACAUGAAUACAACUCAAAAGAAACAUAUAACGCUCCUAAGCAGACUAUUUAUAUCGAUAAACUAAACCGAACAAUAAUUCAAACCGGAUAAACCCGGAGAUAAACUUACACACUUGGACCCUAAACCAAGAAAACCAGAGUUAGCCAUUAGAUUGGAUCAAGAAUCAGCCCACGCAGCGAAAACCGGCAUCUGCGGCAGAGUAAGAGAAACGGUCUUGAGGUCAGCAUUAGGGUUCGUGGUCCAAGAACUCAUAUUUCCAACCACAUUUGCUCCGAACAUCUUCGGACCAACUUGAGGCAACGCAAAUAUCGUCGGAAAACUCAAAACCCUCUCCGGGCUAC